AUUCAAUGAACAACGUCCAUCUUGCAAAGGUGUUUGAUAUUGUUUGUUUAUUAGCUAUUUGCAUUUUUGUGCAUUUGAAAGUUAUUAUUUGUUGCGAAUUGUGCUGUCGUGUUUACUUAGUCAAUAUGAGUAAAGGAGUAAAGGCCUGCUGUGUACCAGGAUGCACGAAUAAGCAAGAGAUAAGACAUUCCAUUCCUACGAAUGAAGACGUUUGCGGAAUUUGGUUGCAUAAAUAACCCCAAGUUAAUGCUUGCAGAUACAGUAUUAUAAUCACAUAGAAUAUGUGAUAUUCAUUUUGAACAAAUUUGUAGAAACCACAAUGGCAGGUUAAAAAAAACUUAAACUGCCAACUCUACAUUUACCUGGUAAGUACUUAUAUUUACUGUGACAAUCAACCUCUUAUGAACCCUAGUGAAAAGUUAUGCAGAGGAAAAGAAUUGCUAUUUCCUCCAAUAGUCGAUGUCCUAAUUUAUAAACCAUUCAAUAGAAGCUCAAAAUAAAAAUCUUUUAUAUGCGCCUUCAGCAAAAUUCUGUGAUAUAUUUAAAAGUUUUUCUGAUAAAAUUUUCAAAAGAUUGCCCCAGUUAAUCAAUUCGUUAGGCAUAAAGAAUCAAAUAUUUUAUUUGGAAGAUUUGACAGACAUUUCCUCAAUAUUUUGUUCAGAUCAUAAGGAUUAUUUAAAUAUGUUUGUAAAUAUUGGUUUUCACAUAUACAUCUUUCAUUACAUAGGUAUUAUUAAUAAAAUUUUGAAGGGCAAAGAUCAACAAUAUAAAGACUACGAUGUUGUGAUGAAUAUGGCAUAUUUAAAUAUAGGGAAAGCUGUAAGAAAGACAACAGUAAUCAUUAAUUAACCAUGGUUAUAAAAUCCGUUUUUUAUAUACCAUUGUAUGUACCAUGUACAAACAGAAACAUUUUUUAAACACGCCAACAUCUCAAUGUUGACAGUCCUAAGCCUGCUAAAGUGUGAAGGAACAUUUUUUAUUUGUGGAUAUAAUUAUAAAAUGUCAAAAACAAAAUAAAAAAUUGUAACAAUCA